UCUGGCGGCGAUGGCGAGAAGGUCACACCCGUUCCCAUGCCGAACACGGAAGUUAAGCUUCUCAGCGCCGAUGGUAGUUGGGGGUUUCCCCCUGUGAGAGUAGGACGCUGCCAGGC
rfam:Bacillus sp. SA2-6 scf7180000001132, whole genome shotgun sequence.